CCUACGGGCGGCAGCAGUGGGGAAUAUUGGACAAUGGGCGAAAGCCUGAUCCAGCCAUGCCGCGUGUGUGAAGAAGGCCUUCGGGUUGUAAAGCACUUUCAGUGGGGAAGAAAGCCUUGGGGCUAAUACCCUCGAGGAAGGACAUCACCCACAGAAGAAGCACCGGCUAACUCCGUGCCAGCAGCCGCGGUAAUACGGAGGGUGCGAGCGUUAAUCGGAAUUACUAGGCGUAAAGCGCGCGUAGGCGGUCUGAUAAGCCGGUUGUGAAAGCCCCGGGCUCAACCUGGGAACGGCAUCCGGAACUGUCAGGCUAGAGUGCAGGAGAGGAAGGUAGAAUUCCCGGUGUAGCGGUGAAAUGCGUAGAGAUCGGGAGGAAUACCAGUGGCGAAGGCGGCCUUCUGGACUGACACUGACGCUGAGGUGCGAAAGCGUGGGUAGCAAACAGGAUUAGAUACCCCGGUAGUC
rnacentral:rRNA from 1 species